rnacentral:rRNA from 1 species
AUUGAACGCUGGCGGCAUGCCUAACACAUGCAAGUCGAACGAGUGGCGGACGGGUGAGUAAUGUCUGGGAAACUGCCUGAUGGAGGGGGAUAACUACUGGAAACGGUAGCUAAUACCGCAUACCAUCGGAUGUGCCCACAUGGGAUUAGCUAGUAGGUGGGGUAAAGGCUCACCUAGGCGACGCUCCCUAGCUGGUCUGAGAGGAUGACCGGCCACACUGGGACUGAGACACGGUCCAGACUCCUACGGGAGGCAGCAGUGGGGAAUAUUGCACAAUGGGCGCAAGCCUGAUACAGCCAUGCCGCGUGUAUGAAGAAGGCCUUCGGGUUGUAAAGCACUUUCAGCGGAGAAGCGUUACCCGCAGAGGAAGCACAGGCUAACUCCGUGCCAGCAGCCGCGGUAAUAC